rnacentral:lncRNA from 1 species
CCCCAUAAAAAGUUGAGCUCUAAUAAAAAUCUUUGGGCAAAUGUAUUAAAUACAGGUUUGGCACUUGUAAUUGAGCAAUGGUAUCAAAUACCAUCUUAUUAUCUACAACACUCUUUAAUCUGUUCUCGUACAUCUAGAUUAAUACUAAGUUAGAGUGAAAAUUCUAUUCACUUUGAGUCUUUGACUCUCUCGCAUGGUAAAAAUUAACUUGAUUACAAAAAUUGAUUAUCUAAGGCAUUUUUUUUUUCUUCAUUUUAAUAUAAUCAAACUUA